CCUACGGGUGGCAGCAGUGGGGAAUAUUGCACAAUGGGGGAAACCCUGAUGCAGCGACGCCGCGUGAGUGAAGAAGUAUCUCGGUACGUAAAGCUCUAUCAGCAGGGAAGUAAAUGACGGUACCUGAAUAAGAAGCCCCGGCUAACUACGUGCCAGCAGCCGCGGUAAUACGUAGGGGGCAAGCGUUAUCCGGAUUUACUGGGUGUAAAGGGAGCGUAGACGGCAGCACAAGUCUGGAGUGAAAUCCCGCGGCUUAACCCCGGAACUGCUUUGGAAACUGUGCGGCUGGAGUGCAGGAGGGGUAAGCGGAAUGCCUGGUGUAGCGGUGAAAUGCGUAGAUAUUAGGAGGAACACCGGUGGCGAAGGCGGCUCACUGGACUGCAACUGACACUGAGGCUCGAAAGUGUGGGUAUCAAACAGGAUUAGAUACCCCUGUAGUC
rnacentral:rRNA from 1 species